rnacentral:lncRNA from 1 species
GAAUUUCCUCCCUCCGUCUCCUUGACUCUGGGUGGGCUGUGUGACUUUUCCUUGCUCAAUAGAAUGAGAAGGAGGUGGCGCACCGGCUACAAGGCUAGACCGGGGGCUCGCAUAUCUCCACUUGCAGCUGCCACUGCCAUUAGAAGAACUUGCUCAGCCAGCUCCUGGGCCCCAGGAAAAGGACAAGUGUCACCCAGAACAGAGCCACCUCCAGCUGCACUCAGCUCCAGAAGCUGGCCCAGCCGGUCCAGUACACCUUUUAAAUAAUGUCCUCUACGUGCCGGUGUGGAAGUAGCCCGGAUGCAAUUGAAUGAACAACAGACGGUGCUUUCCAGGACGGCGCUGUGCUUUCCAGGAUGGUGCUGUGCUUUCAUUCAUUUGGGUAGCUCCUCUGUGAGCCUCCCAGCGCCGACUGCAGAGCCCCCACUCUCCAGCCUGCAAGACCCCGAAAUUCAAGCCACACAAAGAAAGGAGGAGGGGGCCGUUGGCAUUUACUGAACCUUAUAAAACUGUCAGCAAAACAGCCCUUAGGCUUGGACUCCCUGCUAGCCGGGUUUUACGGUGCUGAAGUCAGCAUCUUGAUUCAGCUGCAUAAAUAAUCUCCUGCAGUCCUGCAAGGCCUGGGGUAGGAGAGGGUAUGGGGACCAGGGCACUCUGUAAGGGCUGGGAUAGGAACCCCAGGGAAUAAGACAGACCAACUGCGGGACUUCAGACUCCACUGCAGCCGGGAUCGGGUUGUUGUUAAUUUCUUAAGCAAUUUCUAAAUUCUGUAUUGACUCUCUCAUGCAUGUAACUGAUCCUUAGAUAUUGUCAGCCAAAUGACUAAAGGAUUUAGAAAUCUGAUUGACUUUUGGAAAUCUGAUUGACUGGCACACUCUCUCUGCCUCUUUCUUUCAAAACAUACCUUUAAAAAAUGACUUGCAAAAAAAUACCUCACCUCCUCUUAUUUUGGCAGUAGUGAGAGUAGUAGCCCCAAUGCCAACCAGCAUCUCGUCCCUGCCUCUACACCGUGCCCUGGCUGGGAAAAGUUCCAUCCCACACAUGAGCUGUGGGGUCUGGGCCAGGAGGAGCCAUUGCUCUCGCUUAUGAAGAAGAUAGAGCUGGAUCAGUGAAUGGUACCAGAGGCACACACCUCAGACCCCGCUCCAGUUCAGGUUCUGUUGCUCAGAUCUAUCAUUUUCUAUUUAUUCUGUGCGACGGCCCCAAGUUUAGCAAUCUAAAGCUUGCAUAGCCGGGCUCGGUGGCUCAACGCCUGUAAUCCCAGCAACUUGGGAGGCCAAGGCGGGCAGAUCACCUGAAGUCAGGAGUUUGAGACCAGCCUGGCCAACUUGAUGAAACCCCAUCUCUACUAAAAAAUACAAAAAUUAGCCGGUCAUGGUGGUGGGUACUUGUAAUCUCAGCUACUUGGGAGGCUGGAGAAUCACUUGAACCCAGAGGCGGAGGUUGCAGUGACCGGCGAUUACGCCAUUGCACUCCAGCCUGGGUGACAAGAGCGAAACUCCAUCUCAAAUAAAUAAAUGCAUAAAUAAAUAAAUAAAUAAAUAAAUAAAUAAAUAAAGCCAGCCAGCUUGCAUAAAGAAAGUCACAGUUAUAACUACAUAAAGUAACAGGUCAGCAUGCAGGGGUCCAAGAUGCAUUCUUGUUGCCGAUAGAGUUGGUUCACACAGCUGCAUGGAGGGUGCCCAGGAGGGGACGGUGGCUGCACCUCAAUCCAGCUCCCUUCAAUGGCACUGAGCCUUAGGAAUGCAGUGUGGAACAUGUAAGAAGUUUCUGCAGGUGGAGACAUGUUGUCUCUGGAAUUAAUUCAGACGAAUGCUCUGUGACUUAUUUGUUCCGACUGGGCCUUGCCAUGGCCUCUGGGCCUUUGGUCUCCAAUGUUUACUUAACUUCCUGCCUUAAGCUCAUGGCAGCCUUGACCCUACGUGGGACAUGAUUUCUAAUGUUUUCUCCCUAUCCUUUCAAGGGUAAUCGGGAUAAAAGGAGAACACCUGUGCCAUUUAGACCCAGUAAUCUCGGGGCGGGAGUGGUUACUUGGGGCAGUGGCGGGGGCCAGUCAGACACCAGGAAGGAAGGACAAGAAAAAAAAAACCUGUGACACAUGCAUAGAAAUUACUCAGGGAUCCUUCAAAGCAACACAGAAAUACAUAUAAAGUAAUCCUCUUUAAAAAGAAUCGUAACCCUGGUUCUAAACUGAAGACUUAUUCUGAAAUAUUCUGAUGUCAUAGUCUCAAAAACUGAAACUCUUGUAAUUGGAAAAUGUAAUUAUCUAGAGCUUUUGUGGCUUCUGUACAUAUCUCUCUGUUGCUAAACAGAGAAUAAUAUAAUUAAUAAAUGGUAAAAGGAAUUUUUU